UCAGGCCUAACACAUGCAAGUCGAACGAUGAAGCUGGAGCUUGCUCCGGUGGAUUAGUGGCGAACGGGUGAGUAACACGUGAGAAAUCUGCCCUUGACUCUGGGAUAACUGCGGGAAACUGUAGCUAAUACCGGAUAUUUUCCCUAGUGGGCAUCCACUGGGGAAGAAAGAAUUUCGGUCAAGGAUGAUCUCGCGGCCUAUCAGCUAGUUGGUGAGGUAAUGGCUCACCAAGGCGACGACGGGUAGCCGGCCUGAGAGGGUGACCGGCCACACUGGGACUGAGACACGGCCCAGACUCCUACGGGAGGCAGCAGUGGGGAAUAUUGCACAAUAGGGGCAAGCCUGAUGCAGCAACGCCGCGUGAGGGCUUUAAAGGGUCGGGUUGUAAACCUCUUUAGCAGGGAAGAAGCGAAAG
rnacentral:rRNA from 1 species